GCCUCUUGCCAUCAGAUGUGCCCAGAUGGGAUUAGCUAGUAGGUGGGGUAACGGCUCACCUAGGCGACGAUCCCUAGCUGGUCUGAGAGGAUGACCAGCCACACUGGAACUGAGACACGGUCCAGACUCCUACGGGAGGCAGCAGUGGGGAAUAUUGCACAAUGGGCGC
rnacentral:rRNA from 1 species